rnacentral:rRNA from 1 species
CCUACGGGAGGCAGCAGUGGGGAAUAUUGGACAAUGGGCGAAAGCCUGAUCCAGCAAUGCCGCGUGAGUGAAGAAGGCCUUCGGGUUGUAAAGCUCUUUUACCCGGGAAGAUAAUGACCGUACCGGGAGAAUAAGCCCCGGCUAACUCCGUGCCAGCAGCCGCGGUAAUACGGAGGGGGCUAGCGUUGUUCGGAAUCACUGGGCGUAAAGCGUGCGUAGGCGGCCAUUCAAGUCAGAGGUGAAAGCCCAGGGCUCAACCCUGGAACUGCCUUUGAAACUAGGUGGCUGGAACACGGGAGAGGUGAGUGGAAUUCCGAGUGUAGAGGUGAAAUUCGUAGAUAUUCGGAAGAACACCAGUGGCGAAGGCGGCUCACUGGACCGUUGUUGACGCUGAGGCACGAAAGCGUGGGGAGCAAACAGGAUUAGAUACCCUGGUAGUCCACGCCGUAAACGAUGAUAACUAGCUGUUGGGGCUCUUUGAGCUCCAGUGGCGCAGCUACGCAUUAAGUUAUCCGUCCGUCGGGUAGGUACGGCCGCCGAACGGUUAAAACGUUAAAACGGUAAAGUUAGUACGGCGUGAGAACGUGCCGAACGGACGACGACGAGGGGAGGUUAGG